UGAGGUAGUAGGUUGUAUAGUUGAGGAUUGCACCAAAGGCGAUAACUGUACAACUUCCUAGCUUCC
ensembl:miRNA gmo-let-7a-2 gmo-let-7a-2